GACGAACGCUGGCGGCGUGCUUAACACAUGCAAGUCGAACGGAAAGGCCCUGCUUUUGUGGGGUGCUCGAGUGGCGAAAGGGUGAGUAACACGUGAGUAACCUGCCCUUGACUUUGGGAUAACUUCAGGAAACUGGGGCUAAUACCGGAUAGGAGCUCCUGCUGCAUGGUGGGGGUUGGAAAGUUUCGGCGGUUGGGGAUGUACUCGCGGCUUAUCAGCUUGUUGGUGGGGUAGUGGCUUACGAAGGCUUUGACGGGUAGCCGGCCUGAGAGGGUGACCGGCCACAUUGGGACUGAGAUACGGCCCAGACUCCUACGGGAGGCAGCAGUGGGGAAUAUUGCACAAUGGGCGGAAGCCUGAUGCAGCAACGCCGCGUGCGGGAUGACGGCCUUCGGGUUGUAAACCGCUUUCGCCUGUGACGAAGCGUGAGUGACGGUAAUGGGUAAAGAAGCACCGGCUAACUACGUG
rnacentral:rRNA from 1 species